AACUUGCUUCUUGGGUGACGAGCGGCGGACGGGUGAGUAACGCGUAGGAAUCCACCUAAUGGUGGGGGAUAGCCCAGGGAAACUUGGAUUAAUACCGCAUAAGUCCUAAGGGAGAAAGCGGGGGAUCUUCGGACCUCGUGCCAUUAGAUGAGCCUGCGUAAGAUUAGCUAGUUGGUGAGGUAAGAGCUCACCAAGGCGACGAUCUUUAGCUGGUCUGAGAGGAUGAUCAGCCACACUGGGACUGAGACACGGCCCAGACUCCUACGGGAGGCAGCAGUGGGGAAUAUUGGACAAUGGGCGAAAGCCUGAUCCGGCAAUGCCGCGUGUGUGAAGAAGGCCUGCGGGUUGUAAAGCACUUUCAGUUGGGAAGAUGAUGACGUUACCAACAGAAGAAGCACCGGCUAAAUCCGUGCCAGCAGCCGCGGUAAUACGGAUGGUGCGAGCGUUAAUCGGAAUUACUGGGCGUAAAGCGCGCGUAGGCGGCUAAGUCAGUCAGAAGUGAAAGCCCCGGGCUCAACCUGGGAAUUGCUUUUGAUACUGCUUAGCUAGAGUUUGGUAGAGGAUAGUGGAAUUCCAGGUGUAGCGGUGAAAUGCGUAGAUAUCUGGAGGAACAUCAGUGGCGAAGGCGACUGUCUGGACCAAAACUGACGCUGAGGUGCGAAAGCGUGGGUAGCAAACAGGAUUAGAUACCCU
rnacentral:rRNA from 1 species